GACAGAGGGUGCAAACGUUGUUCGGAAUUACUGGGCGUAAAGCGCGUGUAGGCGGCCAUGCAAGUCGGAUGUGAAAGCCCUCGGCUCAACCGGGGAAGUGCACUCGAAACUGCAAGGCUAGAGUCUCGGAGAGGAUCGUGGAAUUCUCGGUGUAGAGGUGAAAUUCGUAGAUAUCGAGAGGAACACCGGUGGCGAAGGCGGCGAUCUGGGCGAUGACUGACGCUGAGACGCGAAAGCGUGGGGAGCAAACAGG
rnacentral:rRNA from 1 species